CGUAGGGGGCAAGCGUUGUCCGGAUUUAUUGGGCGUAAAGCGCGCGUAGGCGGCGCGGUAUGUCGUGCGUGAAAUCUCCCGGCUUAACUGGGAGGGGCCGUGCGAAACUGCCGGGCUUGAGGUCGGAAGGGGAAAGUGGAAUUCCGGGUGUAGUGGUGGAAUACGUAGAUAUCCGGAGGAACACCAGCGGCGAAGGCGGCUUUCUGGUCCGAUACUGACGCUGAGGCGCGAAAGCGUGGGGAGCGAUCCGGAUUAGAUACCCGGGUAGUCCACGCCGUAAACGAUGAGUACUAGGUGUCGGGGGUAUCGACCCCCUCGGUGCCGUCGCUAACGCAUUAAGUACUCCGCCUGGGGACUACGGCCGCAAGGCUA
rnacentral:rRNA from 1 species